ACGAGUGGCGAACGGGUGAGUAACACGUGAGCAACCUGCCCUUGACUUCGGAAUAACAGCUGGAAACAGCUGCUAAUGCCGGAUACGACCUCGACCGUCCUCGGACGAGGUGGAAAGCUCCGGCGGUCAAGGAUGGGCUCGCGGCCUAUCAGCUUGUUGGUGAGGUAAUGGCUCACCAAGGCUUCGACGGGUAGCCGGCCUGAGAGGGCGACCGGCCACACUGGGACUGAGAUACGGCCCAG
rnacentral:rRNA from 1 species